rnacentral:rRNA from 1 species
GUAGGUGGCAAGCGUUGUCCGGAAUUAUUGGGCGUAAAGCGCGCGCAGGUGGUUCUUUAAGUCUGAUGUGAAAGCCCCCGGCUCAACCGGGGAGGGUCAUUGGAAACUGGGGAACUUGAGUGCAGGAGAGGAAAGUGGAAUUCCACGUGUAGCAGUGAAAUGCGUAGAUAUGUGGAGGAACACCAGUGGCGAAGGCGACUUUCUGGCCUGUAACUGACACUGAGGCGCGAAAGCGUGGGGAGCAAACAGGGAUUAGAUACCCUGGUAGUCCACGCCGUAAACGAUGAGUGCUAAGUGUUGGGGGGGUUUCCCGCCCCUCAGUGCUGCAGCUAACGCAUUAAGCACUCCGCCUGGGGAGUACGGUCGCAAGACUG